rnacentral:lncRNA from 1 species
CUCGGCCAAGAUCCUCCAACUCCAACGCAGACGCAGGGGGUAAGCUCUCUUCUCCUCUCUUCAUUCCCCUGAAUUCAGCUUCAGGUUCCCCAAUUCCAAUUUACUGGUCUACAAUACAUAGAUACACAUCUUUAAUUUGCAUAGGAAUUGCUUGUUUGCAGAUGUUGCUCAGGUCCAGCCGUGUGAUGUUGUUUACUUCUGAAUGCUGCUGUAGUUGUGCAUUUUGUUCUGGUAGAUUAUUUUCCUGGCGUCAUACAUUGUGUUUCUCAUCUUGUUGUUUGAUGGGGGGACAUCCGACUCCUUGUGCCUGAUAAGGAGCAAACUCUUUGUGUUUGUAUACUCCUUGGUGAACGUCACAAAUCAAGCCUUAAUUUGUAAGCUGAGAUGAAUGCUUAUCUCACAUGUUGCUACAUUAUUUAUUUAUUUUCUUCCUAAGCAAAACCAUGGAGAGUUCUGCACCAAGAAUGCUCAUCUUGUAAACAUAACCAUCACCUCAGCUGCAAGCAUUAGCUACUGAGUUAAGAGUCGUGCUUACAAUGAUUCUGCUUUUUGUUUCCCUGUGGAAGGUGGCUUUUACGGCAUCCCAAUGUUGCAUGUUACCCACCACACCGGUGAACUCAGUGGCGGCGUAGUGCUGCGCAGUCUUGGCGGCGCCGGCACUGGCGCGCGGGCACAGCACACCGGUUUCUUGAGGUCGUGAUGGUGGUUUUUGUGAGACUUUCUCUUCCUCUAUCGAAUGUACAAGUCAAAAUUUAUCUCACUUUUGCAUGUUAAGAUGUGUAUUUUAUUUUCUGGGCCGGUUUCCCUUCAUCUCAUGGAUGCUCCAUGCCAUAGCACAUGGCAUAAUCAUGUUAACUGAAAUAACAGGACUGAUCUAAUCAUGGGUGAAGAUAG